GACGAACGCUGGCGGCGUGCCUAAUACAUGCAAGUUGAGCGCUGAAGGUUGGUACUUGUACCGACUGGAUGAGCAGCGCACGGGUGAGUAACGCGUGGGGAAUCUGCCUUUGAGCGGGGGACAACAUUUGGAAACGAAUGCUAAUACCGCAUAAAAACUUUAAACACAAGUUUUAAGUUUGAAAGAUGCAAUUGCAUCACUCAAAGAUGAUCCCGCGUUGUAUUAGCUAGUUGGUGAGGUAAAGGAUCACCAAGGCGAUGAUACAUAGCCGAACUGAGAGGGUGAUCGGCCAGAUUGGGACUGAGACACGGCCCAAACUCCCACGGAAGGCAGCAGUAGGGAAUCGUCGGGAAUGGACGAAAGUCUGACCGAGAAACGCCGCGUGAGUGAAGAAGGUUGUCGGAUCGGAAAACUCGGUUGGUAGGGAAGAACGUUGGUGAGAGUGGAACGCUCAUCAAGUGACGGUAACUACUCAGAAAGGGACGGCUAACUACGUG
rnacentral:rRNA from 1 species